UCCUACGGGAGGCAGCAGUGGGGAAUAUUGCACAAUGGAGGAAACUCUGAUGCAGCGACGCCGCGUGAGUGAAGAAGGUCUUCGGAUCGUAAAACUCUGUCCUUGGUGAAGAUAAUGACGGUAGCCAAGGAGGAAGCCCCGGCUAACUACGUGCCAGCAGCCGCGGUAAUACGUAGGGGGCUAGCGUUGUCCGGAUUUACUGGGCGUAAAGGGUGAGUAGGCGGUUGCAUAAGUCAGAUGUAAAAGGCUAAGGCUUAACCAUAGCAUGCAUUUGAAACUGUGUGACUUGAGUACAGGAGAGGUAAGCGGAAUUCCUAGUGUAGCGGUGAAAUGCGUAGAUAUUAGGAGGAAUACCAGUGGCGAAGGCGACUUUCUGGACUUAUACUGACGCUGAGGAACGAAAGCGUGGGGAGCAAACAGGAUUAGAUACCCUGGUAGUCCACGCCGUAAACGAUGAGUGCUAGGCGUUGGGGGUCAAACCUCGGUGCCGCAGCUAACGCAUUAAGCACUCCGCCUGGGGAGUACGUACGCAAGUAUGAAACUCAAAGGAAUUGACGGA
rnacentral:rRNA from 1 species